rnacentral:misc_RNA from 1 species
ACCACCCCCACCACCACCACCACCACCAAUUCUUCCCACUCAGCAACUAGCACCGCACACUCGUCAUCACAUUCAAGCGGUGCUGCUGACCAUUCUGAAGGUGGGUAUGGUGAAUACUUGAAGAUGGCUCAAGGUUUCUUGAAGAAACACUGACAUAUAAUAGCGAUUAGGCAAAUCUUUCUUGUUGUGUUUCCUAUUUUCUCCCGCUUUUAUGUCUGUUGUACAACUCUUAGAUCUGAAGCUAUAAGCUUCCUGUCUUUGUAUGUUCUGUUUAAUACUUUACUAUGCUAAAGUUCCAGUGUUUUCUUGAAAUUUUUAUUUAGUGUUCUACUUCUUUAGUCAUGCAUAGCCAAAUUCUACAAGUUUUGGAAGAAUUUGCAAAUGAAUUCUAAAUUCCUGUCGAAAUUCCCAUGAUUGGUUGGGAUUCUUGCUCUUGUUCUUUUUAAUCUCCUUCAACAGUUAAAUUGUAGAUGGAAUACAGAGUUUUUAUUAGCUGCCCAGUUUCUCAAUUUGAAAAGUCAGUGCUAUAAAAGAAAAUCUGUGCAUUGCUUGUGAUGAAUGCAACUUAGCAUACAGAGUUGUGCAAGAAAUGCUUAUUUACAUUUAAUAACUGAGAAAGAUUACUGUUUUUUCCCUCAUGACAGAUAAAGCUAUACAAUAGUUAGAUUCAGAAGCAGAAACAUGUCCUUGGAACUCUUCCUGUUACCCCAAUUUUAUUUGCCUUCUCUUUGACCUUCAACUCUUCAUUUCUUUUACUCUCCAUCGCCUUUGAUCUUGCUCCUCCAGCAAUCUCAUUGAUAUCAUCCCCCUCGCUGCGAAAUUGUUGUAAGGCUUUUAACCUUUUCUUCUCCAGUUCACUCUCUAUUCUGUCCAGUCGUCGUCUGGAUUUGGCCUUCUUUUUGUGCUCCCAGGAAAGUAUUCUGGCUUCCAAUUCCUCAUACUUCUUGUUUAUCUUAGCCAGCUCAGCUUUCUCCCAAGCAUCUGCUUCUCUUCCUCUUAUUCCGGGUCUUGUUGGAGUCUGCUUGUCAAAUUUAGCCGGUGAAACUGGAGGUUUAGUUGUGGCAGGCAUAUCAGUUUUUGGCUUUAGGCUUUCAGGCUGUAUUUCAUCGGUUCUUCUCAACUGCUCUUCGGCAAAAGUCGGAAUUUUUUUCAUCGGUACAGCAGGCUUUUCAGUAAAAGUUGGAGUCCUCUUCAUUGAUGGAGUAGGACCAACAACCUUCGCUGGUGUUUUUUCAUCUGGGAUUUCUGAAAUUCUCAUUGAAUCUUGACCUUCUUUUUUAGUCUUACUUCGGGUAAAAGAAGGUUGAGUGGCCUUGCUGAUCUGUUUCUGUUCUGGAAUGCUGAACUCUUCCAAUGAUGAAAUGGCACAUGCAGCAGCUGCUACUGCAGUUGCUCGAUCUAUUCCAUCCAAGUCAUAAUCUUGAUUCAUCUGCCAAGAAAUUUGUCUCCGGAACCAGUUCUGAGGUCUCUUCUUUUCUGCAAAAUGCAUCAGUUUUAUGGUGGUAGUAGGCUAGUAACUAGAAGUAGAGAUGAAGAAUUCUCUAGAGUUACCUUCCUUGAAGGAUAGGGUUUUCUGGGAAGGAAUUCUUCUUUCUUUGCUGCUGCCAGGACCUGCUACGCCUUGUUGUCCAGCAAAUCUCACCCUAAAAGAAGUGGUCAUUCACCUAUAAGAACACAAUAAAAAGGUACCAAGGAAAAACUGGCAGCUGCAUUCACCUGUUAGUUUGCCUGAUCAAAUACUCCAUUGGUUGAGCAAAUAACAAUUCUGAAAUGCUAACUUCCUGAACAAUUAUCCUGGACCCAUUUGUGGCCUGUCUUUAUUUUAAGGAAAAGAAGCCUAGGGAAGGAGAGGUUUGUUAUGGUUGGAUAGGCUGCGGCCAGGGAUAGGGUACAAGCAAAG